UACGUAGGGUGCGAGCGUUGUCCGGAAUUAUUGGGCGUAAAGAGCUCGUAGGCGGCUUGUCGCGUCGGAUGUGAAAGCCCGGGGCUUAACUCCGGGUCUGCAUUCGAUACGGGCAGGCUAGAGUUCGGUAGGGGAGAUCGGAAUUCCUGGUGUAGCGGUGAAAUGCGCAGAUAUCAGGAGGAACACCGGUGGCGAAGGCAGUUCUCUGGGCCGUAACUGACGCUGAGGAGCGAAAGCGUGGGGAGCGAACAGG
rnacentral:rRNA from 1 species